rnacentral:piRNA from 1 species
UCCACUAAACUGGCACAUUCAGCGAAC